AAGAGGAAUAAACCAAAGUUAUACUUUUCCAAACAAGAAGAUAUUUUUCAAUUUUCUCUUUCUUCAAUCCCUCUUUUCUCGCACCCCUAACGCUGCCGGAGACUUGCAACCUCACUGGUCUUAACCGUCGCUGCUUCGUCGGAUUCCGUAUGGGAGAAGAAGCUACCUGCGAAUUAUCAGGAUCCGCUUGAUUUGUUGUCGUCUUAAUCUCUCAUGGUUUUGGACUUUUUCAUAUAUUCACUUUGAAUUUAAUUGGAUUUGGGGGUUAGGGUAAGAAGAAGAGGAAUCUCCGGUUUGUUUGGUGGUGUAGGAUUUAAGCUUCUCUUCUUCUGAGUUUUCACUGAUAAACAGUCUCAAGUUCAGGGAAGAAGAUGAAGAUGAAAACUCCGACCAAAGUCAAUACCUUUGGGUUUAAUAGCAUCAGAACAGAGACUUCAGAAGUGGAGUUGUUGAAAGAGAGGAUGGCGAAACUACUGCGUUGUGAAGAUAUAUCAGGUUCUGGUGAAGGAGUUUCUCCAGCUCAUUCCGUGAAGAUGGAGAUAAAUGGUGGCUUCCUCUGCCACGUGUGCCAUCUGAUGGACUCUCUGAGCAGUCUAGGAAGAAGCUAGACCACACUCGUGAUUUCACUAACCAAAUCUUGAAAGCGUGUGUGUCAAUCAACAGAAUUGCUUUAGCUGAAAUGGAAGUUCCACAAGCAUACCUUGAAGCUCUUCCAAAAAGUAUAAUAAAAUUGUUUUGUCUAAUAGAACAGGAGACCAUGUCUUGGAGUUUUCCUUUAUAUAAACAUCAUGUCUGAUAACUUCUCAGCAGAUUACUUUCUAAGUCAGUAGAUCUUUCAUCUGAACAUGCUAUUGCGGAGAUGGCAAAUAGAGUAGAAGCAUCAAUGAACAUUUGGAGGAGAAGAGCUCAUUUAUUCAUUUGAUUUCAAUGUAAUAAUGUACAUUUUUUUUUGAAUGAAUGCUAAAUUUUAUUCAUAAAAAAUCUUUGUACAUCAAGUGCUUCAUGAGUUUAAACCUUCUACUUUUCGUCUA